rnacentral:tRNA from 1 species
GGCUCGGUAGCUCAGUUGGUAGAGCAAUGGAUUGAGCUCCAUGUGUCGGCAGUUCGAUUCUGUCCCGCGCCA